UACAGAGGUGGCAAGCGUUGUUCGGAAUUACUGGGCGUAAAGGGCGCGUAGGCGGUCUGUUAAGUCCUGUGUGAAAUCCCUCGGCUCAACUGAGGAACUGCACGGGAGACUGUCGGGCUUGAGUUCGGGAGAGGGAAGCGGAAUUCCGGGUGUAGCGGUGAAAUGCGUAGAUAUUAGGAAGAACACCAGUGGCGAAGGCGGCUCACUGGUCCGGUACUGACGCUGAGGUGCGAAAGCGUGGGGAGCAAACAGG
rnacentral:rRNA from 1 species